UAAAACCGGAUUAUUUAUAGCUACUACUCAGCACCACCUACUGCCAAAUUCUUCUUAUUUCUAUCCCCUUCAUUAUCCUUGGUGGAGAAUCUAAUGAGCAGUGAAAUGUCCAAAAUAUUUAAUAAGUCAGCAUGAGAAAGUCAGUUCCUGCUAAUGUUUCCUGAAACAAACCAAAGGAGUCAAUCAUCAGAAAUAGAAGCAGAGGAAGCAGUAACUCAUUCUAUGAGGCCAGCAUUACACAAAUAUGAAAACUAAACAAAGACAUUGAAAGAAGAAAACUAUAGAACACUAUCAGUCAUGAACACAGAUCCAAAAUUCCUCAACAAAAUAUCAGCAAA
rnacentral:lncRNA from 10 species